UACGAAGGGUGCAAGCGUUACUCGGAAUUACUGGGCGUAAAGCGUGCGUAGGCGGUUUGUUAAGUCUGUCGUGAAAGCCCCGGGCUCAACCUGGGAGUGGCGAUGGAAACUGGCGAGCUAGAGUACGGUAGAGGAGAGUGGAAUUCCCGGUGUAGCAGUGAAAUGCGUAGAGAUCGGGAGGAACACCAGUGGCGAAGGCGGCUACCUGGACCAGCACUGACACUGAAGCACGAAAGCAUGGGGAGCAAACAGG
rnacentral:rRNA from 1 species